rnacentral:rRNA from 1 species
GACGAACGCUGGCGGCGCGCUUAACACAUGCAAGUCGAGCGAAGCGGCGGACGGGUGAGUAACACGUGAGUAACCUGCCUUAGACAUUGGGAUAGCCUCGGGAAACCGGGAUUAAUACCAAAUGGUCUAAGAUGGACUCGCGUCCCAUUAGCUGGUUGGUGAGGUAACGGCUUACCUAGGCGACGAUCCCUAGCUGGUCUGAGAGGAUGAUCAGCCACACUGGGACUGAGACACGGCCCAGACUCUACGGGAGGCAGCAGGGGGGAAUAUUGCACAAUGGGCGAAAGCCUGAUGCAGCGACGCCGCGUGGGGGAUGAAGGCUUUCGGGUUGUAAACCUCUUUCGCUAUCGAACGGGUAGGUGGAGAAGAAGCGCCGGCUAACUACGUGCCAGCAGCCGCGGUAAUAC